rnacentral:rRNA from 1 species
UGGGGAAUAUUGCACAAUGGGCGCAAGCCUGAUGCAGCGACGCCGCGUGAGCGAUGAAGGCUUUCGAGUCGUAAAGCUCUGUCCUAUGGGAAGAUAAUGACGGAACCAUAGAAGAAAGCCCCGGCUAAUUACGUGCCAGCAGCCGCGGUAAUACGUAAGGGGCGAGCGUUGUCCGGAAUUAUUGGGCGUAAAGAGUGCGUAGGCGGCAAAUUAAGUCAGAUGUGAAAACUAAGGGCUCAACCCAUAGAUUGCAUCUGAAACUGAUAUGCUUGAGUCAAGGAGAGGAAAGUGGAAUUCCUAGUGUAGCGGUGGAAUGCGUAGAUAUUAGGAGGAAUACCGGUGGCGAAGGCGACUUUCUGGACUUGAACUGACGCUGAGGCACGAAAGCGUGGGGAGCAAACAGG